UACGGGGGGAGCAAGCGUUGUUCGGAUUUACUGGGCGUAAAGGGCGCGUAGGCGGCACCGCAAGUCGACUGUGAAAUCUCCGGGCUUAACCCGGAAAGGUCAGCCGAUACUGCGGGGCUAGAGUGCAGAAGGGGCAACUGGAAUUCUCGGUGUAGCGGUGAAAUGCGUAGAUAUCGAGAGGAACACCUACGGCGAAGGCGGGUUGCUGGGCUGACACUGACGCUGAUGCGCGAAAGCUAGGGGAGCGAACGGG
rnacentral:rRNA from 1 species